ensembl:lncRNA
GCAAGAACCAUCUAGCUGAGCUGGUUCUGAAUUUCUGCCCACAGAAACUGAGAUAAUUAAUGUUCAUUGUUUUAAGCCAUUACCUUUUUGGGUAAUUUGCUAUGUGCAAUAGAAAAGUGGUACAAAAAGGCUUCCCACCUUCUUCCUCAUUCCUCCCCUGGAACAGCCCCAUGGAAGAAAGCACACUUGAGGAGCAAAGAGAAUUCAGCUCUUCCUAGAUUUUUCAAAUACUAUCAAGUACCCACCAUGAGUGACUGCCGUGUGAAGUUGGAAAAUGAUUGAGAAAAUGUUUGCAUCCAAAUGAAUACUAUAAGCUUAGAACGAGGAGAAUAAAGGGCAACAGAAGAAGCAUGUGCUCCAAUUCCUACCACUCCAUGAUACUUGAGCGUGUCAUGAAGAAACUUCCUGGGCUUCUAUUACGUGCUCAUACGUGGCAAUUAAAUUCUUACCAGCUUGUUUUACACGUUUACAAAAAUAAUUUCCAAAAUAUUCCUUUUUGAAAUGUAUACUGGGAGGCUAUUGAUGAGAACUGGUGUAACCAUCCCAUUUACAACUUUUCAGAUUUUCAUGGGGAAGGUGGGGGUGGAGAGAGGUAUUAAAGAUCCAGGCAUCAAUCAAUUUGCUUUAGGAGAGAGGAGCUAAAAUCCUCCUGUUCAGGGGAAUAGGCAAAUAUCAGAAAACACAUCGGGAAUUUUAAACUGAAUAACCUUGCAAAGAUGCAAGACAUGACAGAAAAAAAACAGGAAGUGAAGAAUACAAAAUUACCUUAGCAGAUGUUCCCGAGAGCUUCAGCGGUGGGACAAGAGCAUUGUUCUUUGCCAUUAACUAGACAGGACAAAAAUAGCACCAAUUCCUCCAAAGGCUCUGGGUGGGUGGCAGAACUUUGGGACAAAAUGAGGUGAGAAGAGGCUUCUGUGACCCCUGUCUACCAAAUCGCUUUGAAGGCAGAAAGUCAGAAAACCCCAUAGCUUAGAAAUGGAAUAAAAAAUUACUUCGGGUAGAGUGAAUGAAGAAAUUGCUGGCUCUCAGAAGAUUUCUAAGCCACAUGAAAAUGGAUGGGAUUGAAAGUCCAAUGAUUUUUCAAAAACCAAAAGUGAAUCAGCCUGGUCAAAUGGGUAGGAAUCCACUGCUUAAAGAAAAUAAAGGACUUGCUUAAGGAAGA